AGCGAACGCUGGCGGCAGGCCUAACACAUGCAAGUCGAACGGAUCCUUCGGGAUUAGUGGCGGACGGGUGAGUAACACGUGGGAACGUGCCCUUUGGUUCGGAACAACUCAGGUAAACUUGAGCUAAUACCGGAUGUGCCCUUCGGGGGAAAGAUUUAUCGCCAUUGGAGCGGCCCGCGUCUGAUUAGCUAGUUGGUGAGGUAACGGCACACCAAGGCGACGAUCAGUAGCUGGUCUGAUAGGAUGAUCAUCCACACUGGGAAUGAGACACGGACCAGACUCGGACGGGAGGGAGCAGUGGGGAAUAUUGCGCAAUGGGAGAAAGCCUGACGAAGCCAUGCCGCGUGAAUGAUGAAGGUCUUAGGAUUGUAAAAUUCUUUCAGCGGGGACGAUAAUGACGGUAACCGGAGAAGAAGCACCGGCUAACUUCGUG
rnacentral:rRNA from 1 species